AAAUUGUCAUUUGGAUUUUUGAGAAGCAAAAUUCAUUCGUGCUCAUCAGCCUAUUUUUUUCCUCUGCAGGACAACGGCAUCUCGCAGCGAUCCCAGAAGAAGAGAUAAUCACGAUGGCCUCUGUAAAUACUUACAUUACUCCAAGAACAGUUGGCGCUAUGGUCAUCAUAAUUGCAUUCACUUCAGACAUUGCUUUUUCCUCAAAGAAAGAACCAGCUACAUCAACGAUGCCGCCUACCACAACUACACCCAAACCGAUUCUCUGUACCUAUAGAGAUCAAGGUUACUCGGCUGGUGAAACAGUCAAUCUCACUAUGCCUUGCGAACAGCGCCAUUGCAACGUAACGACAGGAAACGUAACAGUUA